rnacentral:tRNA from 1 species
GGAGAGGUGGCAGAGCCUGGUUGAAUGCACCGCACUCGAAAUGCGGCAUACGGGAAACCGUAUCGGGGGUUCGAAUCCCUCCCUCUCCGCCA